rnacentral:rRNA from 1 species
GUGGUCGGUCCUUGGGUCAGUGAGGAUGAGCAGGCGUGGCUCGCUGAAGGAGGUCUGCAUCUGGUUGGUGAAGGUACCAGGGGUGUGCCUCCCGGCGAUGGCGUUGGCGCUGGUGUGCUGCGCGAACUUGAGGACGGCGCGCUGGCCGUAGGGGCGGGCGGACUGGACGAUGAUGUCCUGGGGGUUCUCGAUGGCCACGAUGACCCUUGCCGCGAGCUGGAGCUUCUCCCACGUCUUGCCCAGAUUGAUGAUGUAGGUACCAUCGGAGCGGCACUUGUAGGCGUAGCGCUCCAUCUGGAAGUCGCAUUUCUUGUUGCCGAGGUGGACGUCAGCGGCGAGCAUCAUAUGUAUGUCCUGCUCCUUCUACGACAGCACCCGCGGGGCCUCUCCAGCCGCCGCCGCCAUGGCUGGUCGGAUCUGGCCACGACAUGA